AGACCCGAAACCCGGUGAUCUAGCCAUGGGCAGGUUGAAGGUUGGGUAACACUAACUGGAGGACCGAACCGACUAAUGUUGAAAAAUUAGCGGAUGACCUGUGGCUGGGGGUGAAAGGCCAAUCAAACCGGGAGAUAGCUGGUUCUCCCCGAAAGCUAUUUAGGUAGCGCCUCGUGAAUUCAUCUCCGGGGGUAGAGCACUGUUUCGGCUAGGGGGCCAUCCCGGCUUACCAACCCGAUGCAAACUGCGAAUACCGGAGAAUGUUAUCACGGGAGACACACGGCGGGUGCUAACGUCCGUCGUGAAGAGGGAAACAACCCAGACCGCCAGCUAAGGUCCCAAAGUCAUGGUUAAGUGGGAAACGAUGUGGGAAGGCCCAGACAGCCAGGAUGUUGGCUUAGAAGCAGCCAUCAUUUAAAGAAAGCGUAAUAGCUCACUGGUCGAGUCGGCCUGCGCGGAAGAUGUAACGGGGCUAAACCAUGCACCGAAGCUGCGGCAGCGACACUCAGGUGUUGUUGGGUAGGGGAGCGUUCUGUAAGUCUGCGAAGGUGGCCUGUGAGGGUUGCUGGAGGUAUCAGAAGUGCGAAUGCUGACAUAAGUAACGAUAAAGCGGGUGAAAAGCCCGCUCGCCGGAAGACCAAGGGUUCCUGUCCAACGUUAAUCG
rnacentral:rRNA from 2 species